GACGAACGCUGGCGGCGUGCUUAGCACAUGCAAGUCGAACGGAAAGGCCCUGCUUUUGUGGGGUGCUCGAGUGGCGAACGGGUGAGUAACACGUGAGUAACCUGCCCUUGACUUUGGGAUAACGUCAGGAAACUGGGGCUAAUACCGGAUAGGAGCUCCUGCUGCAUGGUGGGGGUUGGAAAGUUUCGGCGGUUGGGGAUGGACUCGCGGCUUAUCAGCUUGUUGGUGGGGUAGUGGCUUACCAAGGCUUUGACGGGUAGCCGGCCUGAGAGGGUGACCGGCCACAUUGGGACUGAGAUACGGCCCAGACUCCUACGGGAGGCAGCAGUGGGGAAUAUUGCACAAUGGGCGGAAGCCUGAUGCAGCAACGCCGCGUGCGGGAUGACGGCCUUCGGGUUGUAAACCGCUUUCGCCUGUGACGAAGCGUGAGUGACGGUAAUGGGUAAAGAAGCACCGGCUAACUACGUG
rnacentral:rRNA from 1 species